rnacentral:lncRNA from 1 species
GUGGCACCAGCCAAAUCCCUGCCUUACUGACCUCUCCCCUGGAGGAGCAGGAGCAGCGCUCAAGGCCGCCCUGGGAGGGCUGAGAGGCAGGCUCUGGACUGGGGACACAGGGAUAGCUGAGCCCCAGCUGGGGGUGGAAGCUGAGCCAGGGACAGUCACAGAGGAACAAGAUCAAGAUGCGCUUUAACUGAGAAGCCCCCAAGGCAGAGGCUGAGAAUCAGAAGACAUUUCAGCAGACAUCUACAAAUCUGAAGGACAAAACAUGGUUCAAGCAUCUGGGCACAGGCGGUCCACCCGUGGCUCCAAAAUGGUCUCCUGGUCCGUGAUAGCAAAGAUCCAGGAAAUAUGAUGCGAGGAAGAUGAGAGGAAGAUGGCGCGAGAGUUCCUGGCCGAGUUCAUGAGCACAUAUGUCAUGAUGGUGAGUGGGCGGGCAGCACGAAGUGGGUGGGCUCUGCCAGGGCCUUCCAUGACCCCCUCCCCAUUCUGACCCCAUGGGUCACAUUGUCCAUUCCUUGCCUCUGAGCUGGGAGCCUGGGGAAGCAGCGAGGAAAGUAAGGGG